ensembl:lincRNA Gm26892 predicted gene, 26892
AGGAAAGUAUGAGAUUCUUUUGAGUUUUCUAUAUUAACACAUCAAUCAUCACCAAUGUAGGUAUAAGCAGUGAUUCUUCUUUCUAGAUCUGUAUAAAAAGGAUGUUUUCUUGAAAAAAAAACUACAAGAAAAAUACAACCACUUUCUCUUUGCCCAGGUCAGUCACCAUAGUUAGAUUGCCCAGCUAGAUUUUAAUAUGGCUAGUAUGAGGUACUUUUCAAUGAAUUUAUAAAUAUAGUUAAAAGGAUUUGCUUAGGCCAUCGGCGUUUCAAAGUUAAAUUUGACUUAAAGUUUGUACCAAAUGGAGAUGACGUCUAAGCUGCGUAUGAGGUGUUACAAAGAAUAGAAGUAAAACCAUGAACAUUUGGAAGGCAGGUCCCAUGUAGGGCAUGCAGCAGAUGCUCCACACACUCUCAGUUCUCUCAGAAUUCCUGUGAGGUAGGGUGCUUUUAGAAAUGCCAUCAUACUGGUAAAAACAAGCAAGGCUGGAGGUGGGGGAUGGGGGGCUUCUGGAGUCACAGCUAGAAGGCUGAUAACCUGGCCCACCUCUGCUCUGCUGGUGUCUAGUGUGUGAACUACAGCCCUUGGGACCAUGAGUCCAUGCUCACAUGAACACAUGUAUAUGCACAGAGAAUGUACAGAUUAAACCAAUGACUGUAACAGGACAUUUGUUCCUCCUAGAGACUUCCCAGAGACAAAUCAUGUCAUGUCGCUGAUGCCAGAAGCCUUGCACCCAGCCCUGCCCGGGCUGGUGAGCCGCCUUCUUGUAUUCUCUGGAUUACUAACCUACCUUCUGUAUAGAAGAGGGCACUCCUGACAGACACUGGUUUCUGCAUACUGACACUGCUCUCUGUAUACUGCAUGGCUUGAAUUAUAUAGUAGUCCUAGAUUUAUAUGGGAGGGAGGGAGGGCCUUGACACAGUAUAAAAUUUUCAUCUAUAAAAGGUAUAAAAUACCAAAUGAGCUAUUUUUUUAAAAAAAAUUCUUCUGUACCUUGAGGAUCUCAGUAAAGAACAACAGACUGUCCAUUUCAUUCUCCCUGCACUUUCUGAACCAACUAGCAUUGCUCGUUAGCAGAAAGACGCUGGAAACCCAUCUGUUCCCAGGGGCACGGCUUUCACCAUUUCUGGGCCAUGGCUGACCUUGGACUACCAGCAGGCUGUCACAGAGAUCUGAGAGGAGGAGCCCAGCAGUAUUCUGUCACAGAAAUGUCACCACCUUGGUGCCAUGGACACUCCUGAGCAGCAUCUGAGCUGCUUCUUGGGCUCAGGAGCAUCUGCCAUGUAAAAUUAGAAAGUGAGGUUUGGAGAAUUACCUUUGUUUAGUUACAAUUUUUUUUUUUUUUUUAAAGCUAGGUAGUGGCAGUACACACCUUUAAUCCCAGCACUUGAGAGGCAGAGCUGCUGCGAGAAGAAGACCCAGGAGAUCUGGGGCAACGAGCUGUGCGUCUGGCAGCGCAGGUCCAGAAGCGUGGGCCCCAGGAAGGCGAUGCACAGGCCGAAGCUGAAGAAGACGCUCCAGUAGGUGAGCGUGGGCUGUAGGUUGCGGCGGAGCAGCUCAGACACCCGGCCGUCGCAGCCCAUGGCUCGGCCGGCAGCUCGCAGCGAGCCCAGGGCCGAGUGCCGCGGCCAACCGG